rnacentral:lncRNA from 1 species
CUGGGCUAGAAAAGGCCACGGACCUUCCACCAGUUUCUCUAGGUAGAGCUCCGGCUGUCCCUGUCUCUCAGCCACAGUACCAGACACGUGACAUCUGAAGUUAGUCCCCCCAGCAAUGACUGACUUAGUUCUGUGGCUUCUCAGUUUGAAUUGCUUGGUUGCUAUGCUCUCAUCUAUGAUUGUCGCCAGAGGCUGAGACUGACAUUGUCCAGGAAGAUCACUGCAGCAUCAAUAGCCAUGUAUUUCUUAUAAAAGAGGUCAAAUUGAUGAAGGACUGUGACUGCAUGGGACAAGGAGGGCUGCUGUGAAAGGCACAGACAAUUUUUACGUGCCAGCUUUCCUUAUAUUUGUCUGUUUCGUUAAUCAUGCGUCCAACCCAGAUCUCGUUCCAUCCUGUGGGAAGAGAGGGCCUGGCAGGAGGAGGUCUGAGCACAAAGAGCAGGGGAGCAGUAGCAACUCAUCUUUCAUAGUUGGCAAACGGCUAUCAGGAAGAUCAUCUUGACUUUCUCUCUCCCUGUUGACCUUAUCAGUAGCAGAUGUUGGAAGUGCAUGAGGAACAAAGGAUGGAGAAGCAGCUUGGAGGGGAUCAUCAGCAGCAAGGCACAGCUCUUGGAAGCCGGCAAUCACUCAGAAGCAAGGAGACAGUUUCCUAAUCAAUGUCCCUCUCUACAGACCAGCUACUGUCCAAGUCUAGACACAGUCCAGAUACUGAUUUU